AACAACCAAAAAAACAAAACACAAACCAAAACCAACAACAAAAACUAACCACAUUUUAAUUUAGUUGUGCAUGCAUUAUCUUAUUAACAAAAAAAUAAGCAAAUCCAAAGAGACCCACAAAUAGUUUUCCAAGAGUUGUUUAAUGAGUACAAGGUUCUAGAAAGUUCUGGAAGUGGAUAGUGCUGAUGAUUGGACAGCAUUGUGAGCACACUGAUCUGCUUAUGUAAAAAUGGUUACGAUAAGCCAUGCAGCUCUUUUGAGUUGGCCUGAUUUUCAGAAAAGUCUUAUUCUUCUUCACCUCUUUUGGUUACUGGCCAAAGCCUAAGCAUGUUUUCUCUGGCCCUUCAGGCUUUCUCGCUCUUCCUUAGGAGCUACCCUCACUUCUGCCUCAGAUGGCUCGCUCAUCUCCAUGCCUAGCUCAAAAGGCUUGCCUGCCUGCUUUCUUUCAAAUUCUUUUGUUUGUUUGUUGUUUUUUUUUUUCCGAAACAGGAUUUCUCUGUGCAGUUUUGGAACCUGUCCUAGACCUUGCUCUGUAGACCAGGCUGGCCUCAAACUCACAGAGAUCCACCUGCCUCUGCCUCCCGAGUGCUGGGAUUAAAGGCGUGCACCACCACCGCCCGGCUUCUUUCAAAUUCUUAGCUCAAGUUUCAGGGGUUCUGAUGCUUUCUUCUAGCCCUUUAGGCUCCUGUGUGCUUGUGGUACACAGGGUCAUUCGGGCAGACAUAAUACACGUAAACCAACAGACAGACAGACAAAUAAAAUUGCCCUUAAGCUAAAAAGUGGUUACAAGGGUACAUUCUGUGUUAUCCCAUUUAUUUACCUAUGGCCGGGUCUUGGUAUGAAGCUUAGGCUGGCCUCAAAUCUGAAAUUCCCCUCCCUCACUUUAGUCUCCUGAGUGCUGGGUUUGCAGCUGUGAGCUACCACACCCAGAUUAUGUUAUACCUGUUUUAACACACACACACACACACACACACACACACACACACACACACACACACACACACACCAAAAACAAUAAAAAAAAAUAUUUUAACAUGGCAGUCCCUUGAUCUGCAGUCUUUGAGACAGGGUGUCCUGCUGGCAGCUAGGAUGGAGGUCAGGGACCAGGAUGCUGGCUACAGGUGGGAUGCCUCAUACUGUGUUUCUCAGGAUCCUCCCACAGAGUAGCGAUUCCAGCUCUCCACCUAGGUUCCUAGGGGCUAUUCAUGGCAAGGCUGGGUGGGAUCCCACGCUGCUCUCAGGCCUGCCCUCCCUUGAGGUCCUGCUCCUCUGUAUACAGAUCCGGGAGGAACCGGGCUCCACCACCUUUUCCCUGUCAUCCAGCCCAGCCUAUACCAUCCUCUGUCCUCAGUAGUGCUAUCUCCCACUUCCCUUGGAGGCUUCAUUCUGAUGCUGCACCCCAGCUGCCACUGAUGCCCCCCAAGGCCCCCUGUGUACCACCUGGAUGCUUUGGAUGGCCAGCAUGCAGCUGCAGACCUAGGUCUCAUGACCCCUCAUUUCAGCCUCUUCUCUGACUGCCACAGUAGUGGCCACUGGGCCCUAGAGCAGCGCUACUUCUGGCUCUGUCUGGCUCAGGGCUUGAAGUCCACCCCAGUGAGGCCACAGGGGGGUCUUUUGGGGGUUGUUUCCUUGGCACCCUGGUUCUAGUAGCCACCUCUGACAGAACCAGAGAACACUUAGUUCUUAGAAAGAAUCCAAUUCUGCUUAUUUUUUUUUUUUUCUAACCCCUAUCUCAUGCCUAGCUAAGUCCAUGAACUGAAGCCCAGGCCUGUCUCAGGGCCUUUGAACCAUCAAAUUCCCCACCCCUGGGACAUCCUCCCAUCAAGGUGGCCCAUUCUCAUUUUUGUAUGUCUUAGCUCCAGGCCAGCUCCUCGAGAUGACAGAGACAGCCAUAGGAAGCUGCUACGUUCCCGCCUGUUUAUUGCUCAGUGUCUGCAGGCUCCUCAGGGACAGGGACCCAGUUUAUGGGCACUCAACUCACAGUGAUAGGAGGCAGCUGAUCCAGGCUACAGGAUUACAGGCAGGGCAUUUGGGAGGCGGGGCCUGCGGAGGCCCACUAGCCUUGGGCUAGCCCUACUCCUCUCUGCCUGCACCAGCUCGCUCCCACUCCAGCGGAUGGCCUUGGAGACAGCAGCAUUCAGAGGAAGGAGGAGGCAGAGUGGAGGGUCAUCCGUCAGGCGAGACGUGGAGAGCCUGGGAAAUCAGGAAGGCUGUCUGAGGCCCUUCUGCAGCAUCUGCCUGGUACUCCCCGUCAUCUGGGAGCCCGAUGGGCGGGCUGUCCCUGGGCACUGGAGAGAGCCAGGGUAGCCCCCAGGACCACAGUGGUGGAGGAAGGAGGGCCUAACCAGGGCUCCUUGCCAAUUACCUUCCCUUUUCAACGCAGACAUUUACUUCACAAUAAACAUUUAAAAACACAUAAAUCUCCCAAAGGUGUCGGAUUCCAUCUGGAACCUUCAUCCCAUCUCAGAAGGCGAUUAUUUUGUUCGAUUUAUUUUGAAUU